rnacentral:lncRNA from 1 species
AGAGCCCCGCCUGUCCUCGGCCUACCGCGGCGAGCAGGCAUUCCGGGUCAGACCGGCGCGGGGCGCUGCGGCCCAACUCCUUAGUAGGACGACGUGACUCGAGGGGCCGGAGGACGGAGGGCUCCUCCUCAUCCCUGGAGGUUCCAGGGAUCUGGCAGAGAAAGAAGCCCAGUCUCACAGCAAUGACUCCUGAACAUCCUUUGCAAACACUAUUUAGGACAGAUGGACUGAAGUAGGCCCUGGGGAGAGUUGGGGGCAUUUCCGGAGGCCAGACCAAAGGUGAUCUCCAGGAGAUUUGGAUGUUAGUGCAGGAUAGCUCAGAGCCAAGUGGCAGAUAAGUCUUUGGGAGCCAGAAGGGCUCUUUCUUCUCUAAGGAACAAGUGUAGACCUAUAGGGGCAAGAACCUGUGGCAACCCUGGGAGAGGUCUGCAGAUUCAGGAGGGAACAUCCCAAAACUCAGCAGAGGAGGAGAGGGAGCUUUUGUUGGUCACCUGGAACCACUACCAAUCCAUGUUCAUGUCAAAUUAAAUGAUCACUUUGAA